AGAGAUGCAUUGGGUUUAAAGCGUGCGCAGGCGGUUUUGUAAGACAGAGGUGAAAUCCCCGGGCUCAACCUGGGAACUGCCUUUGCGACUGCAAGGCUGGAGUGCGGCAGAGGGGGAUGGAAUUCCGCGUGUAGCGGUGAAAUGCGUAGAUAUGCGGAGGAACACCGAUGGCGAAGGCAAUCCCCUGGGCCUGCACUGACGCUCAUGCACGAAAGCGUGGGGAGCAAACA
rnacentral:rRNA from 1 species